rnacentral:piRNA from 1 species
GCUGACUGUGCUGCUGAUAUCAA